AUAUCCAUCAAUCCCGGUCUCCCCCUGCCCACAUCCUCCCCAUGUCCGCUAAUGACGCACAGGCGGGGUGCACCGCUGCAUCCGUUCUUUCCAGGCUCUCGCCUCUAGCAGAUGGGGCGUACUGGCAUGGUCUUGCUCCAUCGCCGCCCCGACGCACAACGGCCACGCCACGACCAGUGAGAUCCGCGCGAGGUGGGAGAUGCAUCAGGGAGGUUUCAGGCUGCUCACCGGCGAAGCCCUCCAACUAGCGGCCAGACACAGGCGAGGUGGAUUUCGUGGUGUUAUUGCCAGGAGAGGUCUUUUUGUUUCUGCGAGAACGAUAUGUCCAAGAAUUCAGGUUAAGUUCAGCCACCAUGUACCUCUACUACGAGGGCAUGCCAGAUUCUCCACAAGCUCAGCAGCGAGUCAUACGACUUCCUCUGCAGGCACUGUAACCACUUCUAUACGUGCUCUGCCAUAAGCUUGGCAUCCCCAAUCUUCCAAGAAACAAUUUGAAUUAUGGCAAGGAUUGGAAUUAUGUCUUUCAUGAGGCUAUUACCUCAAAUGCUGCGCCAGUUUUUUAGGUACUUGCACAUCACAUCUUCGAUCUGAAUUUGGGUAAACCUGUGCUAUAUGGUAAAUAUCCCAUCAUUAUAAUGGAAUGAGUAUUUAUUUUGAUUUGCCUUCUGAACCAUAAAAAAUGGAUAUCUCAUUGUUCUAGAUAGUCACAGAGUGGGCUUUCAUUGUUUUAUAUGAUCUAUGUAAUCUUUAAAAUUACAAUUUAAGGUCUUGAUAAUUGAAGUGAACAUGGUCAAGUGCUGAGCAGUUUGGGGUCAAAGAUUGAGAACUGAGAUUUUUUUCACCAAAAAGAAAGCUUCAUACUAAUUACUCUUUUCUGUUUUCCACUCUGAUGCUUUUGAUGUUUAAUGAUUUAAUAGUUUUUUGUCUAUAUUGUCAGUGUAUUUGCUAAUUGUCAAGUUUGUACAGGUUUUGAAAAAAAAAACGUUUAAUCCCUUGCUGCGCAUAAUUUGUAUAGGCAAAAGUAGCAAUCUCAUUUUGUUUCAUUCUAUUCAGGUAGGUAGUGCGUGUCUUGCACAAGAUAAUUACGGUGUUGAUGGAUCAUAUAGCAGGUUCAGUGUGCAGUUUUAAAUUUCUUUAGCACAAGUGUGCAUGCACCCACACACACGUACAGAGUUAUAGAUCUUUUUGAUAGUGUAGUUGUUGUCCUUUAUUUGCCAGCCUAAUAUGAUUGCUGCCUUGGUCUACUUUACAAUUGAUAAACGAUUUUCUGAUUCAAGAACGGUUUGCUUUCCAAAAUUGUAUAGAAGAGCAGCAUGCACAUUUUUCAGAGAGUAUCAACAUCUGAGAGGGAGUUUUUCAGCAAAAAAGAGAAGGGCUGCUUCUUAUGCUUCCAUGUCAUUCUACCAUCAGUUUUGGUGAACAAUGUGUGAGCCAAAAUAUUCAGAUCCCAGUGAGCUUUCACAUAUAGUUUGAGGGAAGCAUGAAAAAGUGCACCAAGCCGUAAUAAAUUUUGAUCGCACUUUGAUUUAAAAUUAUUAAGUGCAGCCGAUUGCAUAAUUAAGAUGGUAUCUUAUGGAAGAACCAAGCACUUAAAGUAUAUUAGUGUUAGCACUCAGAGUGAGGCAACUAUAAGAAUUUGCUGGGUUUAGUUGGUGUUACCUUGUUGAAUAAGAUCGAUAAAGGUCGGAGUACUCCCCCAAGUAUUUAUUUUGAUAUUAUCAUUUAUAUAUACAACUCCGAUAUGCGAUAGUGGUUUUCAUUUUUUAAUACAAUAGCUGAUGUCACUUUUCUGGAAUUAGAUGGAAGAGGUGAAUAUUCACUUUAUAUUAAUAUUCCCGUUCAAGUCCAUAACUGAUGGAAGAAGUCAGGGUUAACUCUUAUGUUAUAUUAGCAUUCAUGUCCCAAGCUUCAACAAUUUAGUUGUUAUGACACAGUUGAUCUUGGCUUCCUACUCUUAAGAGUUUAUUUGUUUUAACAAGGUUGAAAGGAGACACGGACAAUCUGCACAUAGCCUAGCCUACCAGGGAUGGAUUAAUGACUAACUAAGCUUUUCCUGGCUUUGACUUCAGAGGUUGUAGUUAACUCUAUGUGCCAGGAACAUGUAGUUUGGCAUUGGUUUUAGUACUGAAUAUAUAACUUUUAAGGAAACUCUUAUAUUCACUUAGAUAUGCUAGUUGAAGAAAAUAAUACUUUUUGAAUGUGCUAUGGUUAUGGCUGCCCAAUAUAGGAAGGGUGAUACUUUAUUUCCUUUUUGUUUUGUUGAAAUCUAAUCUGUCUUGGAAAAUAUUUUUUGAUAUAUAUUUGUUUUACUAUCUUUGUUUUUGUCUGAAUAUUGUGAAUGAGCAGCAUGAACAUGGCGUCUAUAGGAGCACACACGGCAAUGGAGUGAUGAAUGAUGCUUUCGUUUUCUACUCCCCCGUCUCAUAAUAUAAGAGCGUUUUUUAUACUAGUGUAGUGUCAAAAACGUUCUUAUAUUAUGGGACGGGGGAGUAGAUGGCAAAACUAUAUAUAGAACACACUCAAAUGUAUGUACCCCAAAAGAAUCUGACAAGGCAAAAGUAAAUGAGUAUGUUGAUUGGUGCCGAACAUACAAAAUUGUAGAUAUACCAAUGGAGCUCCCUGGAGCAACUAGCACUUGUUAUUUACCAGUUUAUAUCAGAUGCCACCUUUGGAGGACCAUUAAAUAUACUACUCUCUCAGUCCCAAAAUAAGUUUCUCAAUUUUAGUACAUAUUUAUACUAAAUUUAGUAUAAAGUUGAGACACUUACUUUGAGACGGAGGAAGUACUUUCAGGUUUCAGCCCAUCAAAGCAAUGACACCUCUUCUCUUAUACAUUCUUCUUUCUAUUUACAUUACCUAUUCUCAAAAUAGUGCAACGUCAGGCGAGGGUAACAAGAUGAUGCAUGUACCCAUAACUGGGAGUACGGUUACAUCUACUGACCAAGUCGGCUUAUUCAUAUUCUCUUCACACUGCUGUAUUCGUCUUAAUUUUUAUUUUAUAAUUAUAAAUAGGCUUCACCCCAGUAUUCUGGUAUCACUUUGUUGUUGGUACCAGGUACAUGUGUCUAUAUCCCUGCUUGCAUCAUGUAUAAACUUUAUGAAUAAUUAACCAUACACGAUUGUCUUCAACAUUGUUAGAAAGACAAAGACAUACCCACAUAAAACAUACAACAAUUUUGUUACUGCAUCAAGAAAAA